AGCGAAUUAAAUUGGCGUGAAAGCUUAAAUACCGCAAAUAGUUUCUGGUACUUAGGAUCAGAUGGUUAUUUGGUUUCUAGGAAACUAAUGUGGCUUCGUGUUAAAAAAUUGUAAUGAGGUUCGAUAAAAAGACCAAACUAUUUCUUGUUUUUAAGGAGCGUUUCCAAUCAUCUGGAAAAAUUUACAUUUACAUUUUUAGAGUGAAUAAAAACUCUUUCCAAAAUACAAAUUGAAAUUUGUAUAAGGAUGUUUUAUCUUGAUAUCGAGAGUGAUCGUCAUCUCAUUUUUAUGUUUUGGCUUUUAGAUUUUGUUUUAUAAGUGGAUGGAUGGCCCUUCCCACUGUCUCAGUUUUUUGACCCACUGUGCUCUCCUUGUCGUAUCGUUGCAUCUACACACACUUACACCUCCAUUUUUCCCACACCCGGCUCUCCGUCACCACGAUCUCUCUCUUUAUCUCUGGCUUUUAAGCUCCUGUUUGGGCUUACAUCUCCGCUCAAUAUUGACCAUUUACAGUUAGAGGCCGCUCGCUGCGCCGCUGACAGCAAAUAUUGCAGCUAUUAUUGGCAUUUUUUCUCCCGCUGCAAUUUUAUUACCAGUUUCCUUUCCGCCGGCCAAAAGGAAAACUCCGAAAGGCUUUUCAUUGAGAGAUUUUCCUGGGGAGCAACAGGGUGACCUGUGCACAUAACUUGCAACGCUUGAUAAAAUAUAACUAUGAAAGGAACAUAAUUCACAAUUCAGAGGCUUGAAGAAUAUUCAUUGACUAAUGUACAUAAACAAAAAAAAAAGAAAUAAAACUGGAAUUGAUUUAAAUCAUUUAUGAAAACUAUUUACAAUCAGGGCUCCAUAUGGUCUCCAUAAAUUGAGCUUAUGGUAAUCAACCCUCAUACUUGUUAUAGCUAUAAAGACAAUUACAUAGGUAAAAAGUGCUACAAUUUUAGACUAAUCCUUAUUUCUUCUUUCUAGCUAUGACCAGUUU